AACUAAUUUGGCAGAUAAGUGCAUCGGAUUUAGAAUCCAAAAAUAUGAUAUUCAUAUUUAGUAU
rnacentral:tRNA from 1 species